AUCUUUCUAGUACUAACAAGUAUAAGUGGCUUCCAACCACAUGGUCUUGGUUAAAGUCCAAGGAAAGAUA
rnacentral:tRNA from 1 species